UACGGGGGGGGCAAGCGUUGUUCGGAAUUACUGGGCGUAAAGGGUCCGUAGGUGGCUUGCUAAGUCAGACGUGAAAUCCCUCGGCUUAACCGGGGAACUGCGUCUGAUACUGGAUGGCUUGAGAUUGGGAGAGGGAUGCGGAAUUCCAGGUGUAGCGGUGAAAUGCGUAGAUAUCUGGAGGAACACCGGUGGCGAAGGCGGCAUCCUGGACCAACACUGACGCUGAGGAGCGAAAGCCAGGGGAGCAAACGGG
rnacentral:rRNA from 1 species